ensembl:lncRNA
UUUUGAGUUGAACCUUGCAGUCCUUUCUCCACGCCCGUGGAUUUUGUGGAAACACUUUGCAAUCUCUUUGUCUUUUUUUUACCAGAACUAGUUACAUCGGAAUGCUUACUGUCCUACAGAGUGGCAGCAAAUAAAACCUUGCAUUCUAUCAAGCCAAAAUAGCACACUCUGUUGGAGGAGAUACAUGUUUAAGAUAGAAUUGGAGGGAAGGACAAAAACAGAAAGAUGUUUGGGCUUUUAAGCCAUUGAGUAGUAUUGUUUUGAUGAUCUUAGAGGAGAGAAGAAGAGAGAGAGACCCACUGGUAGAACCAGAAUCAGGGAGAUGACUGAACUAUUGAAAAACAGGUUCCCUUGUAUUUAGGAUCUUAAGGUGUGUAAAAAGCAAACAUGACUUUGCACCUAAGUAAAUUCUGCAUUCUCAUAGUUGUGUCCCAAUUAACCAAAAAGUUGUCUCUAGAGAAAAUACUAUUACAAUCUAAGCAUGAUUCUCUGUGGAGACUAAUUUUUUCCCCUUUUGCCAAAAGCAGUCCUUCCCAAAUUAACAAAGCAAACUGAAAUAAUACCUUGAAUAACAGGUUGCCUGUGGUCUCUGUCAUCCUCAUUUCUCUUCUGAAAUGAAUUUCCACCUCUGCCUUUAAGGCAUUUUGUCACUGAAGCUGCUGUUCCCAAGAGAUGGGCAACCUUUUUGUCCCUUUCUCAUAAGAAAGGGACACUCCUGCAGGUGAGAGUGUAUACCUUACUGGUGGCUGGACUUAUCUUGUGAUUUGGGGCCAUGGAAGACUGGAAAGAAAGAUUUUAAGCUUUCUUUUUUCUUUUUUCUUCUUUUUUUGAGACCAAGUCUCACUCUCUUGCCUAGGCUGGAGUGCAGUGGCACGAUCUUGCCUCACUGCAACCUCCGCCUCCCGGGUUCAAGCGAUUCUCUUGCCUCAGCCUCCAGAGUAGCUGGGGUUACAGGCGCCUGCCAUCGUGCCCAGCUAAUUUUUAUAUUUUUAGUAGAGACAGGGUUUUGGGUUUCACCAUGUUGGCCAGGUUGAUCUCGAACUCCUGACCUCAGGUGAUCCACCUGCCUCAGCCUCCCAAAGUGCUGGGAUUACAGGCAUGAGCCACCAUGCCUGGCCAAGAUUUUAAGCCUUCUGAGCCUUGAAAUUGAGGAGGUUAAAAGGAAGAGCCUUAAGAUUUUGAUUUAUGUCAAAUCCUAAUUCUGUCAUUCAGUCUUGUUUGGAGUUUUGAACCCAUGAUGUUGUAUUAUGCUUCUUUCUCCUCUUAGCACUCUCAAAUUUCAGGUUUGUAAAACACAGUUUUCGUUUUGUGUUCUGGCAAAGUGAUCUCGACAUGAAAGUAGUUGCAGUAAAACACAGGGCAAAGGAAGACAGGCCUGAUGUGCCCACUCACCUGUGGACUCAGAGCUGUGUGCUUUGCUCCUGCAUCUUGUUGAGGUGCUGUUCCAGCUUUGCAUUUCUGUCAAGCAGAGGCGAAUAUAUAAACAGUGUGGUUGAAUACAUUUAAUGCCAGCCAUUGGAAACUAGUUUUAGGCAACCACUCUCACAAACAGCUUUAGAAUUUAUGCCCAGUUUUCUUGUAUUGAAAGAUAACUGAGUAACCUGUAACUAUUUUUAAAUGGCAUGAAAUUAGGAAACUUUUGUACAUUUUAUAUACAUUUUGAGAUGAAUAGAACAAUGGGCUGAGUUAUAAAAAGGGUGUAUUGAAUUUAAGAAGACAAACACAAAACACAGAAUUCGUGUUAACCAAA